rnacentral:rRNA from 1 species
CAUGAACAUCGACAUUUCGAACGCACAUUGCGGUCCUGGGAUUCCAUUCCCGGACCACUCCUGGCUGAGGGUCGUAUCUAUUUAAAAGACUGCUCGGUUUUCGAUCGUCAUCAUCGUCGUCGUCGUCGUCUUUUCGACGAGGAGACUGGUGGUGAUUGGUCGAUUACGUCGGAGCGUGUUGGAUGUACGACGCGAAAGAAAGAGGAGAGGAGGGUGGGUGGUGGCGAAUUUACUUCUCCUCCUCCUUCUCUUUCUCUCUCUCUCUCAUUCGCGACAUCUCAAAACGUGAAUACACGUUCACGUUCAUAUUACGUUUAUCGAAAUGUGAACGUGUAGAGUGUAACCGCGAUUCGAGCGGGGCUUUAUUAAAUACGUCGUCGCCUAUGUAUUAUACUAUAGUCGUCAAUACGUGUUUAUCGUAUAGUCUUGGAGCGCGCGCGCUCGUGCCGGUCGACGUGUCCGAUAUUAUUCUUUUUGUAAUAUAAAGGAAAUCGACGUCUGAACCGGCAAUAAUGAUGCCGUCGCCAACGAUCGACACGCGUUAUAGAUUUAUAUCUAUAUAUUUCUAUCUAUCGACCUCAGAGCAGGUGAGACUACCCGCUGAAUUUAAGCAUAUUACUAAGCGGAGGAAAAGAAACUAACUAGGAUUCCCUCAGUAGCUGCGAGCGAACAGGGAAGAGCCCAGCACCGAAUCCCGCGGCCGACAUCGGGCGCCGGGAAAUGUGGUGUUCGGGAGGGUCCGUUAUCUCGAUGUCAUGCGACGCGUCCAAGUCCUUCUUGAACGGGGCCCCAACCCAUAGAGGGUGCCAGGCCCGUAGUGACCGUUGCUGAUGGCGGGAGGAUCUCUCCUUAGAGUCGGGUUGCUUGAGAGUGCAGCCCUAAGUGGGUGGUAAACUCCAUCUAAGGCUAAAUAUAACCACGAGACCGAUAGCGAACAAGUACCGUGAGGGAAAGUUG